rnacentral:rRNA from 1 species
GACGAACGCUGGCGGCGUGCCUAACACAUGCAAGUCGAGCGAUGAAGUCCCUUCGGGGAUGGAUUAGCGGCGGACGGGUGAGUAACACGUGGGUAACCUGCCUCAAAGUGGGGGAUAGCCUUCCGAAAGGAAGAUUAAUACCGCAUAAUAUUAGAUUUUCGCAUGAAGAACUAAUUAAAGAAGUAAUUCGCUUUGAGAUGGGCCCGCAGAGCAUUAACUAGUUGGUGAGGUAAUGGCUCACCAAGGCGAUGAUGCGUAGCCGACCUGAGAGGGUGAUCGGCCACAUUGGAACUGAGACACGGUCCAGACUCCUACUGGAGGCAGCAGUGGGGAAUAUUGCACAAUGGGGGAAACCCUGAUGCAGCAACUCCGCGUGAGUGAUGAAGGUCUUCGGAUUGUAAAGCUCUGUCUUUUGGGACGAUAAUGACGGUACCAAAGGAGGAAGCCACGGCUAACUACGUGCCAGCAGCCGCCGCCGUAA